CGACAACAUCAUAUUGAAACAUCAGUCCUCGUACGAUCAGCGAAGUUAAGCAACGUCGAGCCUGGUCAGUACGUAGAUGGGCGACCGCUUGUGAAUACCAGGUGCU